rnacentral:lncRNA from 1 species
GGAACAGUGAUUCCCAUUGAUCCUUGUUCCCUCCGUGGGUCACAGAGUCCAGAACUUAAGAGCCACCCAAGAUCUGAAGACAGCAUGUACACAGCCAUUCCCCAGAGUGGCUCUCCAUUCCCAGGCUCAGUGCAGGAUCCAGGCCUGCAUGUGUGGCGGGUGGAGAAGCUGAAGCCGGUGCCUGUGGCGCAAGAGAACCAGGGCGUCUUCUUCUCGGGGGACUCCUACCUAGUGCUGCACAAUGGCCCAGAAGAGGUUUCCCAUCUGCACCUGUGGAUAGGCCAGCAGUCAUCCCGGGAUGAGCAGGGGGCCUGUGCAGGGCAAUGAGUCUGACCUCUUCAUGAGCUACUUCCCACGGGGCCUCAAGUACCAGGAAGGUGGUGUGGAGUCAGCAUUUCACAAGACCUCCACAGGAGCCCCAGCUGCCAUCAAGAAACUCUACCAGGUGAAGGGGAAGAAGAACAUCCGUGCCACCGAGCGGGCACUGAACUGGGACAGCUUCAACACUGGGGACUGCUUCAUCCUGGACCU